CCUACGGGGAGCAGCAGUGGGGGAUAUUGCACAAUGGAGGAAACUCUGAUGCAGCGACGCCGCGUGAGGGAAGACGGUCUUCGGAUUGUAAACCUCUGUCUUUGGGGAAGAAAAUGACGGUACCCAAAGAGGAAGCUCCGGCUAACUACGUGCCAGCAGCCGCGGUAAUACGUAGGGAGCGAGCGUUGUCGGGAAUUACUGGGUGUAAAGGGAGCGUAGGCGGGCGAGAAAGUUGAAUGUUAAAUCUACCGGCUUAACUGGUAGCUUCGUUCAAAACUUCUGGUGUUGAGUGAAGUAUGGGCAGGCGGAAUACCUAGUGUAGCGGUGAAAUGCGGAGAUAUUAGGGGGAACACCAGGGGCGAAGGCGGCCUGCUGGGCUUUAACUGACGCUGAGGCUCGAAAGCGUGGGGAGCAAACAGGAUUAGAUACCCGGGUAGUC
rnacentral:rRNA from 1 species